GUUAAUCCCAUGAGUCCGAAUUAUAACGGUGUAGAUUAGCUAAGAAUUACCAUAUUAAUCAAUAAAAGUGUCACCGUUUUUCUCUUCUCUACUACCUAAAAGAAAGUCGAGUAAUAGGCGCCGGCACCGGCACAAAAUUGAGCCGGUCAACGCAUACCCGUACGAUUAAAGUUCCCAGUGCCGUCAGAUCUGGUCCUCUUUUUUCCCUCCUCUGAUACAUCAUGCGGAAAACAAUACAAAAAAAAUCUCCAGCACACCCCGCCACACGCACGCAGCCCGCCAUGGCCGCCCCUGCCGCUGACUUCGAAGCCCCGCCGGCUCGCCGCCAUCGCUGCACCGGUUCUCGCCGGAUCUAGCAGAGGUCGUCGUUGCACCUAGCCGCCACCACAUAGGGACAGGGCCGUCUCGUAGCACGUCAGAUGCCUCUGUCGUUGCAGCAACUAGCCGGCUCCGUCGUAGCACGCUCAAUGCAGCAUCACCAUGCCCCGCUGGCUGCAGCCGGCCGGCAUCACGUGCUCGCGUGCGCCUGGUUGAAGAGUUAUUUUCUCGCUAGUCCAAGCUUUUUCUCACCCUCUCUGGUUGAAGCUUUUUUUUUCACGGUUGAAGCUUUUCCCAUGCCGAUUGUAGCAAAGUAAAAUCAGCAAGAAAAGCAAAACAGAAAAACUCCAGUAAUCUGUUGGAGCAAAACAAUUAGCCCGUUGUAGCAGAAAAUAAGACCGGUUCCAGCGAAAACCAAAACCUAUUCCAACAACAAAAAAUGGCGUUCCAGCAAAAAAUGCGCUGCUGCCGAUGACUGCAAACAAAAGCAAUCUUGCCGGUUCCAGCUCUUCAGAGGCUUGUUGUAGCAAAAAUAAUUGCUAAUUCCAACAAAAAGACAAAUGCAGCAAAGACACAUGUAGCCGCCGUCCGUCGCCGUCCCAGCAUAAACAUAGCCUAUGCAGCAAAUUCAAAUGCUAGUUCCUGCAAAAAUCAAAGAGGUUCCAGCAAAAAUUUGAUGUAUCAAAAAAUCAUGGCAGUGAUGGGGCAAUCAUCCUCUCAAAUUGCUGCAAACCGAGAAAGAUGGUUCCAUCAAAAAAAGAAGUGGUUCCAGCAAAAAUCAAAAGAGGUUCCAGCAAAAAGUGUUCAUCGAAAUCAAACGGGGAUGGUAGCAAAAAAAGAAAGGGUUGUAGCAAAACAAAUUGGUGGAUCCAGCAAAAAAAUUACCUGGUUCCAGCACAAACUCGUCGCCACCGUGGUCGAUUCCAGCUUGGCCAUGGGGACUAACUAACCAUGGAUGCGGCGGCCAUGGAGGCAUCCAGUUGCCGGCGGACAAGGCGACGAGCACACCUCUGCCUGCGAACGGCCAUGGAGAGGGGUGCAUCUGGCCCUUGUGUUUGCCGUCUUCCUACCCGGUGCUCGUCGCCGUCGUCUCCGGCUCCGAUGGGUUACUAGAUGCAGCGCGCGGCGCAGGAGAGCACUUCUCCUCUGGCACCGGUGGAGCUGCCGAGCCAGUGGGAUGCGCGAUGCGUUUGGAUGGAGGAGUAGAAAGGAAGAAUCGAGGUGCGGCAAGGAGAUGAUUGGGGAUUGCCGUGCAAGACGAAAGAGAUGUCUGUGGUGGGAAGACGAUGCAAGGGGAUGGGAUAAGGCUCAGCGUGAUUGAGCGGUGCGUGGGUCCCAUAUACAGUGCGUGUACGUGGGGGGCCGACCGGC
rnacentral:lncRNA from 1 species